AGGAGUUUGAUCCUGGCUCAGGACGAACGCUGGCGGCGUGCUUAACACAUGCAAGUGGAGCGACGAACCAGGCUUCGGCCUGGGGCAGAGCCGCGAACGGGUGAGUAACACGUGGGUAACGUGCCCCGAUGACUGGGACAACCCGAGGAAACUCGGGCUAAUACCGGAUAUGCCCCCUCACGAGAGUGAGGUGUGUAAAGGAAGCUUCGGCCUCCGCAUCGGGAUCGGCCCGCGGCGCAUUAGCUUGUUGGUGGGGUAACGGCCUACCAAGGCGACGAUGCGUAGCUGGUCUGAGAGGACGAUCAGCCACACUGGGACUGAGACACGGCCCAGACUCCUACGGGAGGCAGCAGUGGGGAAUCUUGCGCAAUGCGCGAAAGCGUGACGCAGCAACGCCGCGUGGGGGAAGACGGCCUUCGGGUUGUAAACCCCUUUCAGUUGGGACGAAGGUCGGGCGGUGAAUAGCCGUUCCGACUGACGGUACCUUCACAAGAAGCCCCGGCUAACUACGUGCCAGCAGCCGCGGUAAUACGUAGGGGGCAAGCGUUGUCCGGAAUCAUUGGGCGUAAAGAGCGUGUAGGCGGCCCGGUAAGUCCGCUGUGAAAGUCGAGGGCUCAACCCUCGAAUGCCGGCGGAUACUGUCGGGCUAGAGUCCGGAAGAGGCGAGUGGAAUUCCUGGUGUAGCGGUGAAAUGCGCAGAUAUCAGGAGGAACACCAACGGC
rnacentral:rRNA from 1 species